rnacentral:rRNA from 1 species
UACGAAGGGGGCUAGCGUUGCUCGGAAUCACUGGGCGUAAAGGGUGCGUAGGCGGGAUCUUAAGUCAGAGGUGAAAGCCUGGAGCUCAACUCCAGAACUGCCUUUGAUACUGGGAUUCUUGAGUUCGGGAGAGGUGAGCGGAACUGCGAGUGUAGAGGUGAAAUUCGUAGAUAUUCGCAAGAACACCAGUGGCGAAGGCGGCUCACUGGCCCGAUACUGACGCUGAGGCACGAAAGCGUGGGUAGCAAACAGGG